AACCUACCUUUAUCUGGGGGAUAGCCUUUCGAAAGGAAGAUUAAUACCCCAUAAUAUAUUUAAUGGCAUCAUUAGAUAUUGAAAACUCCGGUGGAUAGAGAUGGGCACGCGCAAGAUUAGAUAGUUGGUGAGGUAACGGCUCACCAAGUCUGUGAUCUUUAGGGGGCCUGAGAGGGUGAUNCCCCACACUGGUACUGAGACACGGACCAGACUCCUACGGGAGGCAGCAGUGAGGAAUAUUGGACAAUGGGUGAGAGCCUGAUCCAGCCAUCCCGCGUGAAGGACGACGGCCCUACGGGUUGUAAACUUCUUUUGUAUAGGAAUAAACCUAGAUACGUGUAUCUAGCUGAAGGUACUAUACGAAUAAGCACCGGCUAACUCCGUGCCAGCAGCCGCGGUAAUACGGAGGGUGCAAGCGUUAUCCGGAUUUAUUGGGUUUAAAGGGUCCGUA
rnacentral:rRNA from 1 species